UUGUUAUCGGUAAACAGCUUAUAAAUAGAAAAUGAUCAUCUCAAAAUUCUUGUUUGUAUCCGGAACACGUUAUUAACAUAUAACUUUGUUACUUGACAAGUACAAAUUUACGAUAUUAUCAAUUGAAUAAUGGAAAUAUUGACUUACAACCCUCACGAUUCCUCUUUGAUUGGUCAGCAACAACAAAACCAACAAUAUCGCCAAACAAUCAGAACGCUGAAGGUUUUAGGUGCUGUACAAAUAGGAUUAGGAUUAGUGUUGGCAAUAUUAAGUAUCGUCUAUCGGCCAUCUUUAAAAACCAUGCCAGUAUGUGGGUGCUGCUUUUGGGUAAAUGAAACAUUUGUGAACAACUUAUUGUAAGACAAUGUCCUCCAAGUGGAAUUUUUAGCGGAAGUAGGGGUUUUGAAGACAUCUAAUCUAUACAUGUUAUCCAAAGGUAGGACAUAACAAAGGUAUGUACCAAAUAUUAUGAUAGUAGCAUGUUAAUAACACCUUUUUACAUACUAGCCUUCGAUAUUGGGCUGAUUUAAGUAUCAAUUCCGCCAUUUUGGUUGUUACCGGAAGUGAGAAUUGUUUUUCAAAUGCCUCCCUAUCUGACAUAGAAGAGAAAUAAUUAAGCUAAGUCAAAGCCAAAUUUCAUGCUUGUAGCAGGAUGUGCACAAUUCCUCUAAAAUAUGCUUGUAGCUGCUGCACUAUUUGAAAAAAAUAAUUUCAGUGUUGUAUUUCCUUUAACUCUUUAGGUUUUUAAAUUAGAAUUUAUUUACUUGCAGUAUGUCAUCACUGGAUCCUUGCCAUUGUUUAUAAAAAAUAAACUAGAUUCGAACUUCAAAUGCAAGAAAAUCAGUUUUAUGGUUUGCAGUAUUCUAGGAGCAGCAAUUUUUUCUCCAGUUAUAAUACUCGUUUCGUGUAUAAUAAUGCUAUUUAGUGGAAUUGACGGCCAUGGCGGUAAUAUUUAUUAUGAAAUAUAUAUUCCAAUCGUCGUAUUAUCUUUAGCUGUAUUCGUAGUCACGAUCAUAUCAGCAUCCUACUGUUGCUGUUGUUCACCUUUUGACAUACGAAACCAGCAGCAAGCAGUUGUAUAUGUAAAUCCAUCCCAGCCUGCAAAUAGUGCAAUCCCAAUAUGUUACCCAAUCGCCGAGGCAAACAAACAAUCAGUCAUGAUCACGACAGAAGGAACAAACUGCCAACCGACAUUAUAUCCCAAAAGUCCGCAGUAUGAGGUAGUAUGUGGAACGAAUCUUGCAACUGAAAAUCCUCUGAACCAUAAAUCUUAUAUUAAUCCACCACCGUACAAGGAAUAUGAAUAAUAUUUAAAACAUUUUCUCAGUUUAUAGCAUAAACAUCAAAAUUUCUAAAAGAUACCAGAUCAUGAUAACAUCACAAACUAAACAUCCCUAUAAAUCUUCUCAGAUAUAUCUAAAACGAUCAACUUGAUAAUCAUUAAAUUCUUAAAAUAUUCGUAAAAAAUAUCGUAUCAGCUUUGAUGUAUGUUACGUUUACUGCAGUAGGUAAAUUAAAAUACUCCCAUUUGUUGCAUUAAAUUUGGACCUCAAUAUGGGCCAAUGUGAUAACGAUCCCUACACAUUAGAUCAAGAUUAUCGAAAAAUUCUAUAUAUCUAUUUUUUGUUGAAAUUGAACAGAUAUAAAUUUGACCAAACCACAAAUCUUCAUACUUCUCCUCAUUCAACAUACCAAAGAUCACAACGUAUUCAUUAAAAAUAAAAUAUAACUACGUUAACGGUUAAACCUUUUGUACAUUUAUGUCGACAAUUAUGAAAACCCGGCUUUAAAUUAAAGAAUACAUGGUUAAAUUCGACAUACCAAAGACUCCAAAUACUGCAAAGUUUCAUAUGAAAUCAAACACAGAAUAAUUUGGAAUCUUUUGGACCUCAAUUCAAAACCAGGCUCGAAAUCUACAAUCUGAAUACAUGAUUAGAUUCAGUAUAUUAAAGUAAAGAACCAUAAGAGUUUAAGAUCAUAAAAUAAAACACAUUACAAGUGGUUGAGAAGCAAGCCAUAUACAAAAAAGUAUUAGAAUA